UCUCGACAGCGUAUAAGUUAACUCAAAUUUGUAUGGAGUCGGAACGCUUGCCUACGUUUGCCGCUAGGGGCGCUGUUCCAACUGCAUACAAAUUUAGUUAACUUUUUACGCUGUCUA
rnacentral:pre_miRNA from 9 species